rnacentral:lncRNA from 1 species
AACGUUAUUAAAACAUAACUAGCAGGGGCCUUCUCCACAUAAGGAAUCGUUAUGUGCUUCUUUUUCAGGCCAUUGUCACAAAACAUGAAAACUACGCUUACAAGGCAGGCCUUCUCAGAUCUGCUUGAUGUCAGCGUGAAUUGUCGCCCAGGCUCCACGGACAUGCAGCUUCACAUAUUCUACCAACAGUCGUGUCUGCAAAGAUGCUUCCAAAAUGUGUUUUCAAAAGAGAGAGCUAUGCUUAUAAUUCUACCUGGAUUUGACUGGUGAUUGUUUAGUCAUGGAUGGGAUGGAAAAGACCCAUUGUCAUAGAUCACAAAGAAGAUUCUGGAGCAGCUGGUUUGCCCAAUGCCAGGUCCAUGCUCUCUGGGCACCAGGUAGGUACUCAGGAAAAUAAUGACUUUCUGACUCGGCAGCUCUUACCAUUUCGGAUAUUGUAUUUAUAUGAAUUCAUCCAUUUGGCGAAUUUGCAUUCAAGAGGCCCCAUGACCUAAUAAAUAAGAACACAAGUGCUGGAGUCAAAUUAAGUUCUGAGCUUGGUUCUAGCCCUUUACUUGCUUGGAGGACUCAGACAAAUUAUUU